UUGAAACACCGGUUCUCAUACGAUCACCGAAGCUAAGCAACAUCAAGCCUGGUUAGUACUUAGAUGGGUAACCGCUAGAGAAUAAAAGCUGUUGUA